GUGGGGAAUAUUGGGCAAUGGGGGAAACCCUGACCCAGCAACGCCGCGUGAGGGAAGAAGGUUUUCGGAUUGUAAACCUCUGUCCUUGGUGACGAAGGAAGUGACGGUAACCAAGGAGGAAGCCCCGGCUAACUACGUGCCAGCAGCCGCGGUAAUACGUAGGGGGCAAGCGUUGUCCGGAAUGACUGGGCGUAAAGGGCGUGUAGGCGGCCGAUUAAGUCUGGAGUGAAAGUCCUGCUUUCAAGGUGGGAAUUGCUUUGGAGACUGGUUGGCUUGAGUGCGGAAGAGGUAAGUGGAAUUCCCAGUGUAGCGGUGAAAUGCGUAGAGAUUGGGAGGAACACCAGUGGCGAAGGCGACUUACUGGGCCGUAACUGACGCUGAGGCGCGAAAGCGUGGGGAGCGAACAGGAUUAGAAACCCGUGUAGUCC
rnacentral:rRNA from 1 species